GACGUAGGGGCCAGCGGUUGUUCGGAAUUACUGGGUGUAAAGGGUUCGUAGGCGGUGCGGCAAGUUGGGAGUGAAAUCUCUGGGCUUAACCCAGAGGCUGCUUCCGAAACUGCUGUGCUUGAGUGUGGGAGAGGCGCGUGGAAUUGCAGGUGUAGCGGUGAAAUGCGUAGAUAUCAGGAGGAACACCGGUGGCGAAGGCGGAUCUCUGGGCGUAACUGACGCUGAGGAGCGAAAGCGUGGGAGCGAACGG
rnacentral:rRNA from 1 species